GUGGUGGUUCAGUGGUAGAGCGCUUGCCUAGCAUGCGUGAGGCACUGGGUUCGAUCCUCGGCACCACA
rnacentral:tRNA from 1 species